AAGCCGGGACAGGUUGAAGCUAAUAAAAAGUAAACCUCAGACAUGCAGCGAGGGAUACCCUACUGUUCUACACUGAACACCGGCGCCGGCAUAUAAGAUAAAAUUCGCCAUGUCCACCCUGAGGUGCAGACUACAGCAGGAAUUCACUGGCCAGCAUGAAACCCAGUCGUGGAAGGAUCGGGGUGUGCAUUCAUGUUUUGCACGCAAGAAAAUUGAAAAACAAGCAUUGAAUGCAACAGCAUCGUGAAAGCAAA